rnacentral:rRNA from 1 species
UACGAAGGGGGCUAGCGUUUGCUCGGAAUCACUGGGCGUAAAGGGUGCGUAGGCGGGUCUUUUAAGUCAGGGGUGAAAUCCUGGAGCUCAACUCCAGAACUGCCUUUGAUACUGAAGAUCUUGAGUUUCGGGAGAGGUGAGUGGAACUGCGAGUGUAGAGGUGAAAUUCGUAGAUAUUCGCAAGAACACCAGUGGCGAAGGCGGCUCACUGGCCCGAUACUGACGCUGAGGCACGAAAAGCGUGGGGGAGCAAACAGG